rnacentral:rRNA from 1 species
GACGAACGCUGGCGGCGUGCCUAACACAUGCAAGUCGAGCGAUGAAAUUAGAAACGGAGUCUUCGGACGAAGAGGAAAAUGGAUUAGCGGCGGACGGGUGAGUAACACGUGAGCAACCUGCCUAUCACAUCGGGAUAGCCUCGGGAAACUGGGAUUAAUACCGAAUGAAACAUAAUCACUGCCUAGUGGAAAUGUCAAAGAUUUAUCGGUGAUAGAUGGGCUCGCGUCUGAUUAGCUAGUUGGUGAGGUAAUGGCUCACCAAGGCGACGAUCAGUAGCCGGCCUGAGAGGGUGAACGGCCACAUUGGGACUGAGACACGGCCCAAACUCCUACGGGAGGCAGCAGUGGGGAAUAUUGCACAAUGGAGGGAACUCUGAUGCAGCGACGCCGCGUGAGCGAUGAAGGCUUUCGAGUCGUAAAGCUCUGUCCGAAUGGGAAGAUAAUGACGGUACCAUUUGAGAAAGCCCCGGCUAACUACGUGCC